GUAGGGUCUAGGGUCUCUCUUUUCUAGCGGUUAGGUCCUUAUCUGCUUUUGAGCUAUUUCUACCUCGAGCAACAGACUUUUCUCUUGUCAGGGAUGCGUGAGCAUUCUUUUUUUUCCAGUUUCAUUUUUAUUGAACAUUUCUACUGAACAUUUCUGCUAAACAUUUCUGUUGAACUGAACAUUUCUGCUGAACAUUUCUGUAGAAUAUUUCUACUGAACAUUUCUGCUGAACAUUUCUGCUGAACAUUUCUGCUAAACAUUUCUGUUGAACUGAACAUUUCUGCUGAACAUUUCUGUAGAAUAUUUCUACUGAACAUUUCUGCUGAACAUUUCUGCUGAACAUUUCUGCUAAACAUUUCUGUUGAACUGAACAUUUCUGCUGAACAUUUCUGUAGAAUAUUUCUACUGAACAUUUCUGUUGAACAUUUCUGCUGAACUAAACAUUACUACUGAACAUUUCUGCUGAACAUUACUACUGAACAUUUCUGCUGAACAUUUCUGUAGAAUAUUUCUGCUGAACAUUUCUACUGAACAUUUCUGCUGAACUGAAUAUUUCUGCUGAACUAAACAUUUCUGCUGAACAUUUCUACUGAACAUUACUGCUGAACAUUUCUGCUGAACUAAACAUUUCUGCUGAACAUUUCUACUGAACAUUACUGCUGAAUAUUUCUGCUGAACUUAACAUUACUGCUGAACAUUUCUGUAGAAUAUUUCUGCUGAACAUUUCUGCUGAACACUUCUGCUGAACUGAACAUUACUGCUGAACAUUUCUGUAGAAUAUUUCUGCUGAACAUUUCUGCUGAACUGAACAUUACUGCUGAACAUUUCUGUAGAAUAUUUCUGCUGAACUGAACAUUUCUGCUGAACAUUUCUACUGAACUUAACAUUACUGCUGAACAUUUCUGCUGAACUAAACAUUACUGCUGAACAUUUCUGCUGAACAUUACUGCUGAACAUUUCUGCUGAACUGAACAUUACUGCUGAACAUUUCUGUAGAAUAUUUCUGCUGAACAUUUCUGUAGAAUAUUUCUGUAGAAUAUUUCUGCUGAACUGAACAUUUCUGCUGAACUGAACAUUUCUGCUGAACAUUUCUGCUGAACUGAACAUUUCUGCUGAACAUUUCUGCUGAACAUUUCUGCUGAACUAAACAUUACUGCUGAACAUUUCUGUAGAAUAUUUCUACUGAACAUUACUGCUGAACAUUUCUGCUGAACUAAACAUUUCUGCUGAAAAUUUCCGCUGAACACAUCUACCAAACAUGUCUGCUGAACAUCACCUUUUCUCUUCUCUCCUCCACUCCCUUUCCCAAAUAUUCCAUUGAGAAGAAAAAGGAAAACAAAUUGAGCAACACACAGCAGUAAACAUUCAGAGUUUUUUUUCUUUUUAUACUAAGGAAAACAAAAUUAAAAGUGAGCAUUCUAAUGCGUAUCUGCACGGUGCAGUUGUACCCCUUUUUAGUUGGCCAUCUCUUCUAUCUUUGCUCCUUGUGCUUGUAACUUAUUCUAUAUUUUACGCGCUCUUCUAAAUUAGACAUAUGGUCAGUCAUCAACCCUGGGCCUUCCGAGGCGAACCCUGGAUCUCCAAAGACAGUUGAUACACACGAAACCCACUCUCACACUUUCCCCACAUUUCUGCAGGUGUUCCUCCUAUAAGUGCAUUGCAAACUUCACAAUGGCCUUUAUGUUAAUAAUAGUAAUGUGCUCAAUACACACACUGUGAAACUUUAUUCUGUAAAAGCAAAGAGAAAUGUUUAUUUUUUUUAUUAAUGUUAAACGUUAAAAACCUAAAUUUCAUGUGUGUGUGUGUGUGUUUGUGUGUGUGAAAUUUUCCCCUGCGCCUG
ensembl:lncRNA